rnacentral:tRNA from 1 species
GAAGGUAUAGCUCAGUGGUAGAGUGUGUGCUUAGCAUGCACAAAGUCCUGGGUUCAACUCCCCAGUACUGCCA